AGAGUUUGAUCCUGGCUCAGGAUGAACGCUGGCGGCAUGCCUAAUACAUGCAAGUCGAACGGACGGAAGAGAAAAGCUUGCUUUUUUUGGAAGUCAGUGGCGAACGGGUGAGUAACACGUAGGUAACCUGCCCAUGUGCCCGGGAUAAUUUCUGGAAACGGAAACUAAAACCGGAUAGGUAGGGAUCUCGCAUGAGGACCUUAUUAAAGGGGCUACGGCCCUGAACAUGGAUGGACCUGCGGUGCAUUAGCUGGUUGGUGGGGUAACGGCCUACCAAGGCGACGAUGCAUAGCCGACCUGAGAGGGCGAACGGCCACAUUGGGACUGAGACACGGCCCAAACUCCUACGGGAGGCAGCAGUAGGGAAUUUUCGUCAAUGGGGGGAACCCUGAACGAGCAAUGCCGCGUGAGUGAAGACGGUUUUCGGACUGUAAAGCUCUGUUGUAAGAGAAAAACGGCCGACAUAGGGAAUGAUGUCGGAGUGAUGGUAUCUUACCAGAAAGUCACGGCUAACUACGUGCCAGCAGCCGCGGUAAUACGUAGGUGGCGAGCGUUAUCCGGAAUGAUUGGGCGUAAAGGGUGCGUAGGCGGUACGGUAAGUCUGUAGUAAAAGGCGGCAGCUCAACUGUCGUAGGCUAUGGAAACUGUCGAACUAGAGUGCAGAAGAGGGCGAUGGAACUCCAUGUGUAGCGGUAAAAUGCGUAGAUAUAUGGAAGAACACCAGUGGCGAAGGCGGUCGCCUGGUCUGUAACUGACGCUGAAGCACGAAAGCGUGGGGAGCAAAUAGGAUUAGAUACCCUAGUAGUCCACGCCGUAAACGAUGAGAACUAAGUGUUGGGGGAAUAACUCAGUGCUGCAGUUAACGCAAUAAGUUCUCCGCCUGGGGAGUAUGCACGCAAGUGUGAAACUCAAAGGAAUUGACGGGGGCCCGCACAAGCGGUGGAGUAUGUGGUUUAAUUCGAAGCAACGCGAAGAACCU
rnacentral:rRNA from 1 species